rnacentral:rRNA from 1 species
UGGUCGUCAAGUCCUCAUGGCCUUUAUGACCAGGGCGUACACACGUACUACAAUGGCCGGUACAGAGGGCAGCCACUUAGCGAGUAAGGAGCCAAUCCCGUAAAGCCGGUCUCAGUCCGGAUUGGAGUCUGCAACUCGACUCCAUGAAGUUGGAAUCGCUAGUAAUCGCAGAUCAGCACGCUGCGGUGAAUACGUUCCCGGGCCUU